AGUCGAGGGGCAGCAUGAGGUAGCAAUACCUUGAUGGCGACCGGCGCACGGGUGAGUAACGCGUAUGCAACCUGCCCGAUACCGGGGUAUAGCCCAUGGAAACGUGGAUUAACACCCCAUAGUACUUUUAUCCUGCCUGGGAUGGGAGUUAAAUGUUCAAGGUAUCGGAUGGGCAUGCGUCCUAUUAGUUAGUUGGCGGGGUAACAGCCCACCAAGACGAUGAUAGGUAGGGGUUCUGAGAGGAAGGUCCCCCACAUUGGAACUGAGACACGGUCCAAACUCCUACGGGAGGCAGCAGUGAGGAAUAUUGGUCAAUGGACGAGAGUCUGAACCAGCCAAGUCGCGUGAGGGAAGACUGCCCUAUGGGUUGUAAACCUCUUUUAUAAGGGAAGAAUAAGUUCUACGUGUAGAAUGAUGCCUGUACCUUAUGAAUAAGCAUCGGCUAACUCCGUGCCAGCAGCCGCGGUAAUACGGAGGAUGCGAGCGUUAUCCGGAUUUAUUGGGUUUAAAGGGUGCGUAGGCGGUUUAUUAAGUUAGUGGUUAAAUAUUUGAGCUAAACUCAAUUGUGCCAUUAAUACUGGUAAACUGGAGUACAGACGAGGUAGGCGGAAUAAGUUAAGUAGCGGUGAAAUGCAUAGAUAUAACUUAGAACUCCGAUAGCGAAGGCAGCUUACCAGACUGUAACUGACGCUGAUGCACGAGAGCGUGGGUAGCGAAC
rnacentral:rRNA from 1 species